UACGGAGGGUGCAGGCGUUAAUCGGAAUUACUGGGCGUAAAGCGCACGCAGGUGGCUGAGUCAGUCGAUUGUGAAAGCCCUGGGCUUAACCUGGGAAUUGCAGUCGAUACUACUCAGCUAGAGUAUGGGAGAGGGUAGUGGAAUUCCCGGUGUAGCGGUGAAAUGCGUAGAUAUCGGGAGGAACAUCAGUGGCGAAGGCGGCUCACUGGACCGGAACUGACGCUGAGGCGCGAAAGCGUGGGGAGCAAACAGG
rnacentral:rRNA from 1 species